UCCUUUGACGUUAGCGGCGGACGGGUGAGUAACACGUGGGCAACCUACCCUAUAGUUUGGGAUAACUCCGGGAAACCGGGGCUAAUACCGAAUAAUCUCUUUUGCUUCAUGGUGAAAGACUGAAAGACGGUUUCGGCUGUCGCUAUAGGAUGGGCCCGCGGCGCAUUAGCUAGUUGGUGAGGUAACGGCUCACCAAGGCGACGAUGCGUAGCCGACCUGAGAGGGUGAUCGGCCACACUGGGACUGAGACACGGCCCAGACUCCUACGGGAGGCAGCAGUGGUCAUAGCUGGUUUCCUG
rnacentral:rRNA from 1 species